UGAAGUCAGUACUCAUCAUGAACAUGAGGGCCCCUGUUCAACUCCUUGGGCUCUUGUUGCUCUGGCUUCCAGGUAUCAGAUGUGACAUCCUGAUGACCCAGUCUCCACCUUCCCUGUCAGUAUCUCUGGGAGACAGAGUCACUAUCAGUUGUCAGGCCAGUCAAGACAUUACUAGAUAUUUAAACUGGUACCAGCAGAAACCAGGGGAAGCUCCUAAGCUCCUGAUCUACCGUGCAUCCAACUUGGCAAAUGGUGUGCCAUCUAGGUUCAGUGGCAGUGGUUCUGGAACAGAUUUCACUCUCACCAUCAGCCGCCUAGAGCCUGAAGACAUUGGAACUUACUACUGUCAGCAGUAUAAAAAUUACCCUCCCACAGUGAUACAUGGCAUAACAUAA